rnacentral:rRNA from 1 species
GCUUGUCUCAAAGAUUAAGCCAUGCAUGUCUAAGUAUAAACAACUUUAUACUGUAAAACUGCGAACGGCUCAUUAUAUCAGCAAUUAUUUAUUUGAUGGUCUCUUACUACAUGGAUAACUGUGGUAAUUCUAGAGCUAAUACAUGCGUAAAAUCCCGACUCUCGCGGGGAGGGAUGUAUUUAUUAGAUUGAAACCAAUGCGGGGCAACCCGGUAUCUGGUGAUUCAUAAUAACUUUCGGAUCGUCUUUGACGAUGCAUCAUUCAAGUUUCUGCCCUAUCAGCUUUGGAUGGUAGGGUAUUGGCCUACCAUGGCUUUAACGGGUAACGGAGAAUUAGGGUUCGAUUCCGGAGAGGGAGCCUGAGAAACGGCUACCACAUCCAAGGAAGGCAGCAGG